ensembl:piRNA 21ur-9442 ncRNA
UGUUUUGAUUAUUUUAUCAAG